rfam:Gymnopus luxurians FD-317 M1 unplaced genomic scaffold GYMLTscaffold_56, whole genome shotgun sequence.
GGGGGUAUAGCUCAGCUGGGAGAGCAGCAGACUGAAGUCCUAAUGUUGACUUGUUGCCUUUCUGAAGGUCCCGCGUUCGAUCCGCGGUACCCCCA